AGGGUUCGAUCAUGGCUCAGGAUGAACGCUAGCGGCAGGCUUAACACAUGCAAGUCGAGGGGUAACAGGAGUGCUUGCACUCGCUGACGACCGGCGCACGGGUGCGUAACGCGUAUAGAACCUACCUUUUACUGAGGGAUAGCCUUUAGAAAUGAAGAUUAAUACCUCAUGGUAUUGCAAUUUGGCAUCAGAUUGUAAUUAAAGAUUUAUUGGUAAAAGAUGGCUAUGCGUCUUAUUAGCUAGAUGGUAAGGUAACGGCUUACCAUGGCAACGAUAAGUAGGGGCCCUGAGAGGGGGAUCCCCCACACUGGUACUGAGACACGGACCAGACUCCUACGGGAGGCAGCAGUGAGGAAUAUUGGGCAAUGGAGGCAACUCUGACCCAGCCAUGCCGCGUGCAGGAAGACUGCCCUAUGGGUUGUAAACUGCUUUUAUACAGGAAGAAACACACCUACGUGUAGGUGCUUGACGGUACUGUAAGAAUAAGCACCGGCUAACUCCGUGCCAGCA
rnacentral:rRNA from 1 species